GACGAACGCUGGCGGCGUGCUUAACACAUGCAAGUCGAACGGCAAGGCCCUGCUUUUGUGGGGUGCUCGAGUGGCGAACGGGUGCGUAACACGUGUGUAACCUGCCCUUGACUUUGGGAUAACUUCAGGAAACUGGGGCUAAUCCCGUAUCGGAGCUCCUGCUGCAUGGUGGGCGUUGGAAAGUUUCGGCGGUUGGGAAUGAACUAGCGGGUUAUCAGCUUGUUGGUGGGGUAGUGGAGUACCAAGGCAUUGACGGAUAGCCGGCCUGGGAGGGUGACCGGCCACAUGGUGAUUGGGAUAGGGCCCAGAGGCCAACGGGGGGAAGGGGUGGGAGAUAUUGCACGAUGGGCGGAGGCGGGGUGGAGCAACGUCGGGUGGGGGAGGACGGCUUUCGGGUUGGAAACGGCGUUCGCUUAUAACGAGGCGUGAUGGAGGUUAAUGGGGAAAGAGCAACGGCUUAAUUCGGG
rnacentral:rRNA from 1 species